rfam:TPA: Bos taurus chromosome X, whole genome shotgun sequence.
UCCCUGGUGGCUUAGAUGGUAGAGAAUCUGCCUGCAAUGCGGGAGACCCAGGUUCCAUCCCUGGGUUGGGAA